rnacentral:rRNA from 1 species
UUCCUACGGGGGGCAGCAGUGGGGAAUAUUGCACAAUGGGGGAAACCCUGAUGCAGCGACGCCGCGUGAGCGAUGAAGUAUCUCGGUAUGUAAAGCUCUAUCAGCAGGGAAGAAAGUGACAGUACCUGACUAAGAAGCCCCGGCUAACUACGUGCCAGCAGCCGCGGUAAUACGUAGGGGGCAAGCGUUAUCCGGAUUCACUGGGCGUAAAGGGAGCGCAGGCGGCACGGCAAGUCGGGUGUGAAAACCUGGGGCUCAACCCCGGGAGGGCAUCUGAAACUGUCCAGCUAGAGGGCAGGAGAGGG